rnacentral:rRNA from 1 species
CGUGGGUAACCUGCCCAAGAGAUCGGGAUAACACCUGGAAACAGAUGCUAAUACCGGAUAACAACAGAUGAUGCCUAUCAACUGUUUAAAAGAUGGUUCUGCUAUCACUCUUUGGAUGGACCUGCGGUGCAUUAGCUAGUUGGUAGGGUAACGGCCUACCAAGGCGAUGAUGCAUAGCCGAGUUGAGAGACUGAUCGGCCACAUUGGGACUGAGACACGGCCCAAACUCCUACGGGAGGCAGCAGGG